GUUAAUGUAGCUUAACUAUAAAGCAAAGCACUGAAAAUGCUUAGAUGGAUGCUCUGAUCCCAUAAA
rnacentral:tRNA from 1 species